UUGACGGGACCGCACAAGCGGUGGAUGAUGUGGUUUAAUUCGAUGCAACGCGAAAACCUUACCACCUUUGACAUGGCAGGAAUCCUAAAGAGAUUUGGGAGUGCUCGAAAGAGAACCUGCACACAGGUGCUGCAUGGCUGUCGUCAGCUCGUGUCGUGAGAUGUUGGGUUAAGUCCCGCAACGAGCGCAACCCUUGCCAUUAGUUGCUACGAAAGGGCACUCUAAUGGGACUGCCGGUGACAAACCGGAGGAAGGUGGGGAUGACGUCAAGUCCUCAUGGCCCUUAUAGGUGGGGCUACACACGUCAUACAAUGGUUGGUACAACGAGUUGCGAGUCGGUGACGGCGAGCUAAUCUCUUAAAGCCAAUCUCAGUUCGGAUUGUAGGCUGCAACUCGCCUACAUGAAGUCGGAAUCGCUAGUAAUCGCGGAUCAGCACGCCGCGGUGAAUACGUUCCCGGGCCUU
rnacentral:rRNA from 1 species